rnacentral:sRNA from 20 species
AAGCGAGGCUGAAGGUGGUUCCCCCCCACCCCUUCAGCACUUCCGGUGAGUCACCUUUAGAAGAACCCGCGGCCCGGUACCCUCUUGGGGUAUCGGGCCGCCUUCUUUU